CAGUAGCCACGGUAAUACGAAGGGGGCUAGCGUUGCUCGGAAUUACUGGGCGUAAAGGGCGCGUAGGCGGCCAUGCAAGUUAGAUGUGAAAGCCCUGGGCUCAACCUAGGAAUUGCAUUUGAUACUGUUUGGCUUGAGUUCGGGAGAGGUGAGUGGAAUUCCCAGUGUAGAGGUGAAAUUCGUAGAUAUUGGGAAGAACACCAGUGGCGAAGGCGGCUCACUGGACCAUAACUGACGCUGAUGCACGAAAGCUAGGGGAGCAAACAGGAUUAGAUACCCCGGUAGUCCCUGUCUCUUAUCA
rnacentral:rRNA from 1 species